CUGACCACACAUCAAUUAUUAAUGAGCCCUGACCUGAUAAUAAUCAUAUAUGUUGGUUUAGCUUGUCAGUGUGAAUUAAAUCCAAGUAUUUAUUUGUAUUUUAACCGAUUUAAAAGUGAAACCAAAAGACAGUCUCCUCCCUUUUUUAGUCCGGUAACUGCACCUGUAGGGGCGCUAUUUCUCUCAGACAAUGGAAGUCUAAGCACACACACUCAAACAGAUGGACAGAGUGAGAUGAGAUGUCUGACAGUUUUUUAAUUUUCUGUUAUCCAUACAGUGUUGUAAAGUCAUGAAACUAUGCAUAUUUACUCAGAAUAACUUUUUUUCUGUAUGAAAAAAGGUUUUGAAGUGUUUGGAAUUUAAAAAUGCAGGAAAAUUAAUAAUUCCAUCUUUAUUGUCAUUUAAAAAAAUCACCACGACAAAACCAUCCAAGCUAUCCAAAACCCAUUCACAAUUUAAGUUCCUCAAUGUUUUUUCAACAUGUACACCAAGUUUGGUGUGUAUAGUGUUACUCUCCUCUGAGCAGUAUGCAUUAAUUCACAGCUAAAUGUAAAAAACAAUCCACAUUCAAAUCAAAAUAGCCGACUUCCUGUUGGUCGUAGCUGAUGACUGUGAAUUAGAAAGUUGUCCGUCUUGAUAAGAAAAAUUUUUGUACCGAGUUUGGUGUCUGUAGCUAAAACUAACCCCCCCACUUUUGACAAAAGGUGGCGCUAUAGAGUGCCUCUUCCACGCCCUCUUAUGAACUUUUGCCAGUGUCUAGUUAUCAUAAAUACUGAUAUGUGUUCUGAGUUUGAUGAAAUUCUAAGCAUGUUAUAUGCCUCAAAAUCACCUGAGAAGUAGUCCAGUUUGACAUGUUGCCACGGCAACAAUAUUUUUAGAUAUCAAUAUCCCCCCAGCAGAUUUAUAUCGGCUGUGUUUUAACAUUAUUCUGAUGAAGUUUGAAGCUAAUCGAGUAAAAAUAAGUUGCUGAAAUCAAAGCAUUUUGAAAAUGACACACUUCCUGCUGCCAGUUGGUGGCGCUAUAACUUUGACUCCUAAUAGUCACAUAUAUGCGAUCGACCUCAUACAAUGAAUAAUCUGAUGAAGUUUGAUUAAAAUCAGGAAAUGUA